GCCAGGUGCUGUGAUGCACAUCUGUAAUCCCAGCAGCUCUGGAGGCUGAGGCAGGAGGAUCAUGAGUUCAAGGCCAGCCUGAAUAACUUAGCAAGGCUCUAAGCAACUUAGUGAGACCCUGUCUCUA
rnacentral:sRNA from 1 species